UGACUUGGUUUCUUCAUAACGCAUGUCUUUCGCCUUUUACUAAAGACUUCCGUGGAGAGGAACAAACAUGAGUUGAAUAUAUUUUCAGGAUUUUUGCUGUAUGGCUGAGC